GACGAACGCUGGCGGCGUGCCUAAUACAUGCAAGUCGAACGAACCGCGACUGAGUGCUUGCACUUGGUCAAGGUGAGUGGCGAACGGGUGAGUAACACGUGGGUAACCUACCUCAUAGUGGGGGAUAACAGUCGGAAACGACUGCUAAUACCGCAUAGGAUAUGGAAUCACAUGAUUCUGUGAGGAAAGGUGGCGCAAGCUAUCGCUAAGAGAUGGACCCGCGGUGCAUUAGCUAGUUGGUAGGGUAAAGGCCUACCAAGGCGAUGAUGCAUAGCCGACCUGAGAGGGUGAUCGGCCACAUUGGGACUGAGACACGGCCCAAACUCCUACGGGAGGCAGCAGUAGGGAAUCUUCCGCAAUGGACGCAAGUCUGACGGAGCAACGCCGCGUGAGUGAAGAAGGUCUUCGGAUCGUAAAGCUCUGUUGUUAGAGAAGAACAGCGCAUAGAGUAACUGUUAUGC
rnacentral:rRNA from 1 species